AUGCAUUUCCUUCUGAAAAGAGGAGCCGAUGCUACACUGUGUAACAAUAGCAAUCAGACAGCUCUUCAUGUUAGUCAACCAGCACUCCAGGGGGAGCUUUUGACGGCUAUGAUCGGAGAAGUACCCCAUCAGAAGCAGCUCUCACUAGCAGCCUGGAGGGGAGACCUCUGCUGUCUACAGGACCUGAUGGCCCAGGCAGACUUGUUGGAGUUAAAUAAACAGAACAGAGAUGGACUGACCCCACUGAUGCUGGCUGUAAGGGAUGUGGAUCUCUUUGAAGGACUUGAGACACCGUGGGAAUAUCAACCUGUGGAAGUGGUGAAGGAACUUGUGUGUUUUCCAGUUGAUAAGAAGAUCCUUGAUGGAAGAGGUCAUACUGCUCUGUGGUACGCCUCUCAGAUCAAGAGCACCAAGAAGGAAGAACUCUUCCAUAUAAUGGAUUCUUCAAUGCAAACAGGUAAAAAUUACAUAUUCCAUUUAUUUUGCAAUGUGGAAGUACAGUAA
rnacentral:lncRNA from 12 species